rnacentral:rRNA from 1 species
AGAGUUUGAUCCUGGCUCAGGACGAACGCUGGCGGCGUGCUUAACACAUGCAAGUCGAGCGGAAAGGCCCUUCGGGGUACUCGAGCGGCGAACGGGUGAGUAACACGUGAGUAAUCUGCCCUUGACUCUGGGAUAGCUCCGGGAAACCGGGAUUAAUACCGGAUAUGACCAUCGUGGACAUCUGUGGUGGUGGAAAGUUUUUCGGUCAGGGUGGGGCUCGCGGCCUAUCAGCUUGUUGGGGGGGUGACGGCCCACCAAGGCGACGACGGGUAGCCGGCCUGAGAGGGCGACCGGCCACACUGGGACUGAGACACGGCCCAGACUCCUACGGGAGGCAGCAGUGGGGAAUAUUGCGCAAUGGGCGGAAGCCUGACGCAGCGACGCCGCGUGCGGGAUGAAGGCCUUCGGGUUGUAAACCGCUUUCACCAGGGACGAAGCUAACGUGACGGUACCUGGGGAAGAAGCGCCGGCUAACUACGUGCCAGCAGCCGCGGUAAUACGUAGGGCGCGAGCGUUGUCCGGAAUUACUGGGCGUAAAGCGCGCGUAGGCGGUCUUUCGCGUAGGCGGUGAAAGCCCCCGGCUCACCUGGGGGAGGUCCGCCUAAACGGGGAGACUGGAGGGCGGUAGGGGCUGGCGGAACGCCCGGAGUAGCGGUGAAAUGCGUUGAGAUCGGGCAGAACACCAGUGGCGAAGGCGGCCGGCUGGGCCGACCCUGACGCUGAGGCGCGAAAGCCAGGGGAGCGAACGGAAUUAGAUACUCCGGUAGUCCUGGCCCUAAACGAUGGCAACUAGGUGUGGGGGGUAUCGACCCCCUCCGUGCCGCAGCACACGCGAUAAGUUGCCCGCCUGGGGAGUACGGCCGCAAGAUUAAAACUCAAAGGAAUUGACGG